rnacentral:rRNA from 1 species
GACGGAGGAUGCAAGCGUUAUCCGGAAUUAUUGGGCGUAAAGCGUUCGCAGGUGGCUGUUCAAGUCUGCUGUCAAAGACCGGGGCUUAACCCCAGAAAGGCAGUGGAAACUGAACGGCUGGAGUGCAGUAGGGGUAGAGGGAAUUCCCAGUGUAGCGGUGAAAUGCGUAGAGAUUGGGAAGAACACCGGUGGCGAAAGCGCUCUGCUGGACUGCAACUAACACUGAGGCACGAAAGCUAGGGGAGCGAAAGGG